rnacentral:pre_miRNA from 1 species
GUUUUAGUAUAAGUAUCUCCCAAGCAAUAUUUGAGGCAUACUUAUACUAAAA